GCGAACACAGCGUCUGCGGUCGGAGAACGGCAACUGAGGCUCUGAAUUCUUGAAAAUAAGAGGAUUUCAUGGAGAAACCAAGCCUGAAGUCCAGCCUAAGCCACAGGAUUUUUGUGAGAGUCCAUAUAUGUUCACACCGGCCUGGAGGAAUGAACAUCUUCCCCGUGAUGAAGUUGUGCAGGAUAAACUGGAGGCCACGACACAAGUACAGUAAUGAUUCUUCUGGUGUGACGGCACACACCUGUCAUCCCAGAGGAUGGGGCAGGAGGAUUGCUGCUGAAUUUGA